CCUACGGGUGGCAGCAGUGGGGAAUAUUGCACAAUGGGGGAAACCCUGAUGCAGCGACGCCGCGUGAGUGAAGAAGUAAUUCGUUAUGUAAAGCUCUAUCAGCAGGGAAGAAAAUGACGGUACCUGAGUAAGAAGCCCCGGCUAACUACGUGCCAGCCGCCGCGGUAAUACGUAGGGGGCAAGCGUUAUCCGGGUUUACUGGGUGUAAAGGGAGCGUAGACGGCAGUGCAAGUCUGGUGGGAAAGGCGGGGGCUCAACCCCCGGACAGCUCUGGAGACUGUACGGCUGGAGUGCGGGAGAGGUAAGUGGAAUUCCAGGUGAAGCGGUGAAAUGCGUAGAUAUUAGGAGGAACACCAGUGGCGAAGGCGGCUUACUGGACUGAAACUGACGUUGAGGCUCGAAAGCGUGGGGAGCAAACAGGAUUAGAUACCCUUGUAGUC
rnacentral:rRNA from 1 species